rnacentral:lncRNA from 1 species
AUUAUUAAUAAGUGAGAAACUGGGCAACUGUUUUGGUACUUCAUAUAAUUGCUGCAUUUUUCUGUCGUAUCUAUGGGAUCCAACUCAGACUGUAGCUGGUGGCCGCCUUUGGUCUUUUUGUCCUGAGUGAGAUCGUUUUAUUUUCAGAGAUAUGAGUGACUGCUGGAAGACAAAGCUGGUUUCACAACAUCCAGCUUCUGUUUCUCAUUUCACCAAAGGCCUUUAACGUGAUCUUGGAUGGAAUACGACAUUUCAGAUGUCCAAAGAGUUAGCUCUGACAGUCUCUGGAGGAAUUUGAGAAGUGUGAAGGUUGGAAAUGAAUCAGUUAUGCAUCAGCUACAUUUCAUACUCUUGUCCUGAGAGUAAAGCAGUUAUGGGCUGGGCUCCUUGUUCCAGAAUGACAGUGAUGUGUUCCAAAUAUACAGUGGAGACAUCCUGGGAAUGCUUAUGAAGAGCUCAGUGCAAACCUCAUCCCACCACACAUACCCACCGUUGCAAAGGGAAAAGGUAUUGUAGUAUUUCUUCACCAUUACAAAAAGAAGGGAGAAUAAAUAUUCUGAUGCCAUUGUACA